UGCCUACGGGGCGCAGCAGUGGGGAAUAUUGGGCAAUGGGCGCAAGCCUGACCCAGCAACGCCGCGUGGGUGAAGAAGGUCUUCGGAUCGUAAAACCCUGUUGUUAGAGAAGAAAGUGCGUGAGAGUAACUGUUCACGUUUCGACGGUAUCUAACCAGAAAGCCACGGCUAACUACGUGCCAGCAGCCGCGGUAAUACGUAGGUGGCAAGCGUUAUCCGGAUUUAUUGGGCGUAAAGGGAACGCAGGCGGUCUUUUAAGUCUGAUGUGAAAGCCUUCGGCUUAACCGGAGUAGUGCAUUGGAAAC
rnacentral:rRNA from 1 species